rnacentral:rRNA from 1 species
GAUGAACGCUGGCGGCGUGCCUAAUACAUGCAAGUCGAGCGAACGGACGCGAAGCUUGCUUCUCUGAUGUUAGCGGCGGACGUGUGAGUAACACGUGGAUAACCUACCUAUAAGACUGGGAUAACUUCGGGAAACCGGAGCUAAUACCGGAUAAUAUUUUGAACCGCAUGGUUCAAAAGUGAAAGACGGUCUUGCUGUCACUUAUAGAUGGAUUCGCGCUGCAUUAGCUAGUUGGUAAGGUAACGGCUUACCAAGGCAACGAUGCAUAGCCGACCUGAGAGAGGGAUAGGCCACACUGGAACGGAGACACGGUCAAGACGCCUAAGGGAGGCAGCAGUAGGGAAUCGUCCGCAAUGGGCGAAAGCAUGACGGAGCAACGCCGCGUGAGUGAUGAAGGUCUUCGGAGCGUAAAACUCUGUUAUGAGGGAAGAACAUAUGUGUAAGGAACUGUGCACAUCUUGACGGUACCUAAUCAGAAAGCCACGGCUAACUACGUG